AGACCCGAAACCCGGUGAUCUAGCCAUGGGCAGGUUGAAGGUUGGGUAACACUAACUGGAGGACCGAACCGACUAAUGUUGAAAAAUUAGCGGAUGACCUGUGGCUGGGGGUGAAAGGCCAAUCAAACCGGGAGAUAGCUGGUUCUCCCCGAAAGCUAUUUAGGUAGCGCCUCGUGAAUUCAUCUCCGGGGGUAGAGCACUGUUUCGGCUAGGGGGCCAUCCCGGCUUACCAACCCGAUGCAAACUGCGAAUACCGGAGAAUGUUAUCACGGGAGACACACGGCGGGUGCUAACGUCCGUCGUGAAGAGGGAAACAACCCAGACCGCCAGCUAAGGUCCCAAAGUCAUGGUUAAGUGGGAAACGAUGUGGGAAGGCCCAGACAGCCAGGAUGUUGGCUUAGAAGCAGCCAUCAUUUAAAGAAAGCGUAAUAGCUCACUGGUCGAGUCGGCCUGCGCGGAAGAUGUAACGGGGCUAAACCAUGCACCGAAGCUGCGGCAGCGAACGUAUCACCCAAGACAACUUUACGGAGUUGACGAUUGACGGAGCGAAGCGACGUCAAAGCGUUCAUUAAAGUCGAGUUGGCUUAGGGAUACGUUCGUUGGGUAGGGGAGCGUUCUGUAAGCCUGUGAAGGUGUGUCGUGAGGCAUGCUGGAGGUAUCAGAAGUGCGAAUGCUGACAUAAGUAACGAUAAAGCGGGUGAAAAGCCCGCUCGCCGGAAGACCAAGGGUUCCUGUCCAACGUUAAUCGGGGCAGGGUGAGUCGACCCCUAAGGCGAGGCCGAAAGGCGUAGUCGAUGGGAAACGGGUUAAUAUUCCCGUACUUGGUGUUACUGCGAAGGGGGGACGGAGAAGGCUAUGUUGGCCGGGCGACGGUUGUCCCGGUUUAAGCGUGUAGGUGUGUGUUCCAGGUAAAUCCGGUUCACUUUAACACUGAGGCGUGACGACGAGGCACUACGGUGCUGAAGCAACAAAUGCCCUGCUUCCAGGAAAAGCCUCUAAGCAUCAGGUAACAUCAAAUCGUACCCCAAACCGACACAGGUGGUCAGGUAGAGAAUACCAAGGCGCUUGAGAGAACUCGGGUGAAGGAACUAGGCAAAAUGGUGCCGUAACUUCGGGAGAAGGCACGCUGACACGUAGGUGAAGUGAUUUACUCAUG
rnacentral:rRNA from 1 species